rnacentral:rRNA from 1 species
CCUACGGGUUGAGCAGUGGGGAAUAUUGCACAAUGGGCGCAAGCCUGAUGCGGCCAUGCCGCGUGUAUGAAGAAGGCCUUCGGGUUGUAUAGUACUUUCAGCGGGGAGGAAGGCGAUAAGGUUAAUAACCUUGUCGAUUGACGUUACCCGCAGAAGAAGCACCGGCUAACUCCGUGCCAGCAGCCGCGGUAAUACGGAGGGUGCAAGUGUUAAUCGGAAUUACUGGGCGUAAAGCGCACGCAGGCGGUCUGUCAAGUCGGAUGUGAAAUCCCCGGGCUCAACCUGGGAACUGCAUUCGAAACUGGCAGGCUAGAGUCUUGUAGAGGGGGGUAGAAUUCCAGGUGUAGCGGUGAAAUGCGUAGAGAUCUGGAGGAGUACCGGUGGCGAAGGCGGCCCCCUGGACAAAGACUGACGCUCAGGUGCGAAAGCGUGGGGAGCAAACAGGAUUAGAUACCCUUGUAGUC